AGUGACGGUACCUGCAGAAGAAGCGCCGGCUAACUACGUGCCAGCAGCCGCGGUAAUACGUAGGGCGCAAGCGUUAUCCGGGAAUUAUUGGGCGUAAAGAGCUCGUAGGCGGUUUGUCGCGUCUGCCGUGAAAGUCCGGGGCUCAACUCCGGAUCUGCGGUGGGUACGGGCAGACUAGAGUGAUGUAGGGGAGACUGGAAUUCCUGGUGUAGCGGUGAAAUGCGCAGAUAUCAGGAGGAACACCGAUGGCGAAGGCAGGUCUCUGGGCAUUAACUGACGCUGAGGAGCGAAAGCAUGGGGAGCGAACAGGAUUAGAUACCCUGGUAGUCCAUGCCGUAAACGUUGGGCACUAGGUGUGGGGGACAUUCCACGUUUUCCGCGCCGUAGCUAACGCAUUAAGUGCCCCGCCUGGGGAGUACGGCCGCAAGGCUAAAACUCAAAGGAAUUGACGGGGGCCCGCACAAGCGGCGGAGCAUGCGGAUUAAUUCGAUGCAACGCGAAGAACCUUACCAAGGCUUGACAUGAACCGGACCGCUGCAGAAAUGUGGUUUCCCCUUUGGGGCUGGUUUACAGGUGGUGCAUGGUUGUCGUCAGCUCGUGUCGUGAGAUGUUGGGUUAAGUCCCGCAACGAGCGCAACCCUCGUUCUAUGUUGCCAGCACGUGAUGGUGGGGACUCAUAGGAGACUGCCGGGGUCAACUCGGAGGAAGGUGGGGACGACGUCAAAUCAUCAUGCCCCUUAUGUCUUGGGCUUCACGCAUGCUACAAUGGCCGGUACAAAGGGUUGCGAUACUGUGAGGUGGAGCUAAUCCCAAAAAGCCGGUCUCAGUUCGGAUUGGGGUCUGCAACUCGACCCCAUGAAGUUGGAGUCGCUAGUAAUCGCAGAUCAGCAACUUUGCGGUGAAUC
rnacentral:rRNA from 1 species